ensembl:miRNA mir130b microRNA 130b
ACUCUUUCCCUGUUGCACUACUGUGGGAGCUGUAGCUAGCAGUGCAACAAUGAAAGGGCA